rnacentral:siRNA from 1 species
GGAUUCGUCGACCAGGUCCGA